GAUGAACGCUGGCGGCGUGCCUAAUACAUGCAAGUCGAACGAAACUUCUUUAUCACCGAGUGCUUGCACUCACCGAUAAAGAGUUGAGUGGCGAACGGGUGAGUAACACGUGGGCAACCUGCCCAAAAGAGGGGGAUAACACUUGGAAACAGGUGCUAAUACCGCAUAACCAUAGUUACCGCAUGGUAACUAUGUAAAAGGUGGCUAUACUACCGCUUUUGGAUGGGCCCGCGGCGCAUUAGCUAGUUGGUAGGGUAAAGGCUUACCAAGGCAAUGAUGCGUAGCCGAAUUGAGAGGUUGAUCGGCCACAUUGGGACUGAGACACGGCCCAAACUCCUACGGGAGGCAGCAGUAGGGAAUAUUCCACAAUGGGCGAAAGCCUGAUGGAGCAACGCCGCGUGGGUGAAGAAGGUCUUCGGAUCGUAAAGCCCUGUUGUUAGAGAAGAAAGUGCGUGAGAGUAACUGUUCACGUUUCGACGGUAUCUAACCAGAAAGCCACGGCUAACUACGUG
rnacentral:rRNA from 1 species